rnacentral:sRNA from 1 species
UGAGCAAGGCUGUAGACUUCUCGUCUAA